GACGAACGCUGGCGGCGUGCUUAACACAUGCAAGUCGAACGGAGUGCUCAUGACAGAGGUUUCGGCCAAUGGAUUGAGUUACUUAGUGGCGGACUGGUGAGUAACGCGUGAGGAACCUGCCUUUCAGAGGGGGACAACAGUUGGAAACGACUGCUAAUACCGCAUGACACAUCGAAGGGGCAUCCCUUUGAUGUCAAAGAUUUUAUCGCUGAAAGAUGGCCUCGCGUCUGAUUAGCUAGUUGGUGAGGUAACGGCCCACCAAGGCGACGAUCAGUAGCCGGACUGAGAGGUUGACCGGCCACAUUGGGACUGAGAUACGGCCCAGACUCCUACGGGAGGCAGCAGUGGGGAAUAUUGGGCAAUGGACGCAAGUCUGACCCAGCAACGCCGCGUGAAGGAAGAAGGCUUUCGGGUUGUAAACUUCUUUUGUCAGGGAAGAGCAGAAGACGGUACCUGACGAA
rnacentral:rRNA from 1 species